rnacentral:snRNA from 1 species
GGAUGUGAGGGCGAUCUGGCUGUGACAUCUGUCACCCCAUUGAUCGCCAGGGUUGAUUUGGCUGAUCUGGCUGGCUUGGCAGGUGUCCCCUUCCUCCCUCACCGCUCCAUGUGAGUCUCUCCCCAAGUUGCGUGCUUGGCUGAAGAGGCGACCUUCCCCAAAUAGAGGAGGACCGGUCUUCGGUCAAGGGUAUACGAGUAGCUGUGUUCUCCUGCUGGAACCUCCAAACAAGCUCUCAAAGUAGGUGAACCGGAGCCUGGAAGCAAGUAGUAAGCAGUGUUCUU